UAUUUUUUGUAUUACAGAAUUACUUUUGCAUAGUGAAAAAUUGAUUUUUCAAUUUUACUCUAGAAUUUCAUCUCUUGUAACACAAAAAAUCUGUUCCGAAUAUCUUUUUCUAAAAUGAUUUUUUUCAUUUCAAGUUUUUUUUAGAGAGAUUGCCCUUCUUCUGGUAAGUUCGAGAAUAUUUCUUCCAGCAUUGCCAUUAAUUUCUUGCACCACCUUCUUAUUCCAAAAUGGACUACAGGAAGUGUAAAAUAUAAACUCCAGAAGUCCAUUCCUUCGAAUGUUGAGCCUAUUUAUUCAAAAUCUUCUCAGCUCCACAGACUCGGUUCAUAAAUGUUUGUAGGCUUCACAAGUAUCUUCUUGCAACUCUUUUUGAAUUAUACUAUUUAAACUGAAUCUCUUUAUAAAGUAGCUUGAUUCAAUUUUUCAAGCCAAUUCCAUUUUCCAAAUUCACUUAACACUCAUAAUUUGGUAGAUUAAACCCAAAUCAUAAAUAUGUUAACUGAACCGAACUGUUUCUAUAAAAUCUUGUUGAUGUUUCUUUUUAUCAGAAAGGUUCAGUGUUCACAGACCCAAUAAUAACAUCUGCACAUUUAGAUUAGAUAUCCAAUGAUGUAAUUGUCACAGCCUCGUGGAAGUGCAAUACAAAUUGAAGAAAUAUGUUAAAACAAAUACAACUCAGUUGGAUUGAAAAAGUUAUGCUGUGAUGGAUGAUAGAUUACAUAGCAGAUGUGUGAGGGAACUUGAGGCAAUGAAACACAUAAUCACAUAAACUGCCAAAACAGAAUCUCAAAAUUCCCAAUAUUUUUUAUGCACCUUCAGAUUAGGAUUCGUAGGAGAGUAAAAUUGACAUUAAACACAUGCUAGGCCACCCCCAUCUAGUGGAUUUCAUGUCCAUUCAACUGAAAAACCCUUUGAGUAAAGGAAGCAGAGAAACACAACCAUAAGCUAAAGCCCAAAUUUGUAUUAAACUUUAAAACAGAACAAUUUGUUUCCCAGUAAUGGUUAAGAAAAAAACAAUCAAUUUACAAACAAAAAGGUUCAAGAAGAACCCCCAAUGAUUCAAUUGGGACCAUGCAACACAGGCACUGAACAAAUAAAAUAGUAAAAGCAGUACAGAACAUAUUUGGUCUAACUUCAAUCCACCUAUGUUGCAUAUGUAUGGGUGAUACAGGCAGUCCAAACAUGUGAAGUUAGUUCUGCAAAGCGGUACCCAAAAUUCAUUGUUGCACAUUAAAAAUAGGCAACUCGUGAUAUUAAGCAAUCACAGAGCCUUAGUACCAGUGCAGUGAAGAUCAUAGGAAAUAGAACCACAAAACAUCACAAAUUCGCUAACAUUCAAAUCACGUCAAAAUAUACAAAAUUAAUGAAAAGAAAAAAAGAGUCCCAAUACAACAUAUGCACGCAGUAGAAUAGAUGGUUGAAAUCAGACACUAUCCUCGACAAUAAGAAAAUAGUAUCAGAUCUGCAUAAUCUCCAUACUCCAGAAGUGAAACUACAAAAUGCAGGUUAUUUACCGCAAAAGGAGCGGCUAUGGAGCAGAUAAACAAGUUCGUGUGGCAGAACGACAUGGUGUUGGGAAAAAGGGUUUCAAUUUAUAGGAACAAGGAAAAUUAAAUUAGGGCAUCGCAUGGAACCC
rnacentral:lncRNA from 1 species